rnacentral:rRNA from 1 species
GAUUAACGCUGGCAGUGUGUAUAAUACAUGCAAGUCGACUGCAUUUAGUUGCAGGGCAGACGGGUGAGUAACACGUUGGUUAUCUGCCCCGAAGACCGGGAUAACCCGAGGAAACUCGGGCUAAUACCGGAUACCCCCACCAGGUCGCAUGGCCAGGUGAGGAAAUGCUCCGGUGCUUUGGGAGGGUCUCGCGGCCUAUCAGCUAGUUGGUGAGGUAACGGCUCACCAAGGCAUCGACGGGUAGCUGGUCUGAGAGGACGAUCAGCCACACUGGGACUGAGACACAGCCCAGACUCCUACGGGAGGCAGCAGUAGGGAAUCUUGCGCAAUGGGCGAAAGCCUGACGCAGCAACGCCGCGUGGGGGAUGAAGGCUCUCGGGUCGUAAACCCCUUUCAGGAGGGACGAAAAUGACGGUACCUCCAGAAGAAGCCCCGGCCAACUACGUG